rnacentral:rRNA from 1 species
CCUACGGGAGGCAGCAGUGGGGAAUAUUGGACAAUGGGGGCAACCCUGAUCCAGCAAUGCCGCGUGUGUGAAGAAGGUCUUCGGAUUGUAAAGCACUUCCAGCGAGGAGGAAGGCAUUGUGGUUAAUAACCACAGUGAUUGACGUUACUCGCAGAAGAAGCACCGGCUAACCCCGUGCCAGCAGCCGCGGUAAUACGUAGGUGCCAGCAGCCGCGGUUAUACGUAGGUGCCAGCAGC